rnacentral:sRNA from 1 species
GUUUAAUAUUGCGUUCGGGUUGUAUGGGUAUAAACCACUAACGUACGAUGACUACGUGUACCCGCCCUGGGCUAACGCUGUGGGAUGGAUGCUAGCCAUAUCAUCUAUGUCAUGCAUACCCAUAUUUGCGGUCUAUAUUCUGAUCACAACGCCAGGAACGUUGAAGGAGCGCCUCGUGAAAGCCACUAAAACACCCAACCAACGUGCCGCCCGGGAAGCAUACGACAGAGUUGGACAAAUAAAUGGCAACGUGGCCGACUUCAAAUUGGAUUCCAGCCAGUGCAAGAUUGAUCAUGUCUAGAUAGGAUGGUUGUGAUGGUGUAGAGUUUACGUCAUGGACUCAGUGCUUGAUAUGAGGAUACAAUCUUGAAAGCACAACUUUAGUCUAAACUUAUCUAAGCAAUACCUCCAAAGAGUACCACUCUUAUAGUAUUACCUCCCGGUUGUAAAAAUGCAAUUUGCUGGACCAAGUUAGCUAUUUAUUAUGCACGUAUUUAACAAAACGACCAAGAUACAUUUUUUUUUACUUUUUAAAUGGUAGAGUACAUAUAAAGAUUCACCCUAAUUAUUGGUAUCUCUAAAUUCGUCGUACUUUGUGUACGUUAUUCCUCUCGAUGAUUGUUAUAUUUUGAUGUUCAUAUACUAAACAAAAGUAGAGAGCGAUGACUCAAUUCCAAUUUAAAUGUUAUUAAAAUAAUAUUUUUUUUUACAAUGUAAUAUAAGAGAGUUACGUAUUUUAAACAUUCCCGCACAUGUGGUUAAGUUCGACUAUCAUGUGUUCACACGUGAAUAUGUUCUACAAGCCCGUGUCAAUGUGAUUAUGUUCUAUCUCGUGUUCAUACGCGAGUUUGUUCUACUAUUUCCUGUUCACACCCAUAUGUGUCGAUUCCAUUGUUAUAUUGUACCGUGUUUGUAGGUAACACCUAUACCUGUCUUAGAUAUUUAUAUAAUUGUAUGUUUCAGUUUACGUAUGUCGACAAUCAUUGAUCUUGUCUCAAUUCGUUGACGAUUUUGUAUUUGUACCUUUGGCUAUUCUCCUACCAAAACCGCUGACUUUUCAUUAAAAAUGCCCUAUUUUGUCAGUCUGACAUUGGCAAUUAGUACGGAAACAUACCGACUGUUAUAUGUUUGAGCAUUUGUGUCAUACCAAACUGCCUAUACUAUUACGUUUUGUGUGAAUUUUGUUCUCGGUUUAUUUAAUAUAUAGUAUGUGGGUUUAUUAUCCAGUGUCACUUUGCUAUGCAAACAAACACCUUUUAUUCGCCGUCGCUAAUAUUGUUAGUUUGUCAUUGUACCAGAGGGGCGACACGUUAAGCGCAGCUCAAAUUUCGAGAUAAUUUCUUUUGUUACAGAAUCAAGAACCUCCAUGAUAAGUAUAGUUUGUCACGGUGCCAUGUUAACCCCUGUUCUGUAUUCAUCGAUUCCAAUUUGGCUAUAAGUGUGACUCUGUAUCGGUUACUUUGUCAAAUGUAUUAAACUGUAUCGUAUCAACCAAACGUAACUCAGAAAUGUUUUUUUUGUUCGAAUAAGAGACCCAUCAAUAGAGGGCGUACUGUGGAAGUGUGUUCUAUUGUACAUAUAUAAAUAUAUCGUGCGUGUAAGAAAAGUCGGUGAUCUUGGGAAUCCAUUUUUCCCAGCUUUGUUUUAUACAUUUUGUAAGUACCUUAAUAUGUAAAUUACAUGUUUAAACGUGAUAUUUCAAUGUAUACAUUAUCAAUAUUGACCAAUAAACAAUUGUUUGUAGUGUGAGACAUAUAUAUAUA